rnacentral:rRNA from 1 species
UGCGUAGGCGGGUUUGCAAGUCAGGCGUGAAAUACCGAGGCUUAACCUCGGGGCUGCGCUUGAAACUGUAGAUCUUGAGUGAAGUAGAGGCAAGCGGAAUUCCUAGUGUAGCGGUGAAAUGCGUAGAUAUUAGGAGGAACACCAGUGGCGAAGGCGGCUUGCUGGGCUUUAACUGACGCUGAGGCACGAAAGCGUGGGGAGCAAACA